rnacentral:rRNA from 1 species
GAUGAACGCUGGCGGCGUGCCUAAUACAUGCAAGUCGAGCGAACAGACGAUGAUCUUGCUCCUCUGACGUUAGCGGCGGACGGGUGAGUAACACGUGGAUAACCCACCUAUAAUACUGGGAUAACUUCGGGAAACCGGAUCUAAUACCGGAGAAUAUAUUGAACCGCAUGGUUCAAUAGUGAAAGACGGUUUUGCUGUCACUUAUAGAUGGAUCUCGGCCGCAUUAGCUAGUUGGUCAGGUAACGGCCUACCAAGGCAACGAUGCGUAGCCGAACUGAGAGGGGGGUUGGCCACCUUGGAACGUGACCAGCCUCCAUGCUCCUACGGGACGGCGCAGACGGGUACCUUCGGCAGUGGGGGGAAGUCUUACAGAGCAAGCGCGAGCCUGUGGAGGAGGCCCUCGGUGCGGAAAGCCCGGUUUUUAGGGAAGAACAGCUGUGUACGUAACUAUGCACGUAUUGACGGUACCUAAUCAGAAAGCCACGGCUAACUACGUG